AAUAUGGAGUGGCUGAGUCACAAUACCUCUAUGGCUACUGUUCUUACUUAGCUUGAGGAAAGCUGAAUUAUGGAACUCCUUGCCACAAGGAAAAAGCUAAGGCAAAGAAUUUAGCAAUUUCAAAAAAUGGAUUAGAUAUCAGUAGAAAGUAAUAGUAAUUGCCAGUUGAUUAUGCCAAACUUUACCUCCACCUGCCACUAUUUUGGAUUUUGCUUGGCUCCUGCAUCACCAUGUUGUAGUUUGUGGGCCUCAGUGAUUUUCAUCCAUCUCAAGUAAGCCCUGGGAGUAGAAAGCUUGAGAAUCCAUGUCCUAAGGUAUAUUGCUACUAAAGAAACCAUGGCCCCUAAAGUUAGACCAUGAUUUUCUCCUGCAUCAAUUUCCUCCAGUGAUCUGUUCCACCAUCAGCCACUUCUGCAUUCUAUCUGGAAGGUCCAGCUGGACAUCAUCAUUGCUGGGACUGGUGACACUGAAAUCCCACUGAAGGCUUGCUGUUUUCAACUGUUUACAAAAUGGUUGGGAGAGGAAUUAUCCCUUAACAUGAAAUCUGGAGUUCAGACUAAUAGGAUUAGUGGUAAUAAGAUUUCUACACAACAUCAGCACCUAGCAUAUUCUAGUGCACAAGGACAACAUCAUAACCAGGGCACAUGUCAUCUGGAGAUUUGCGACAAGGUGCGUCAUCACUCUGCAGACGACACCCAGAUCAGUUUAUCGUUUUCAUCAGAGAUCAGGUGAGGCUGCAAAAGCGGUAAGCUGGUAUUUGGAGAUAGCCGUUGACUGGAUAAAGGCCAAUAAACUGAAACUCAGGUGCAGUUUCUGUUGGUAGGCAGUUCAUCUAGCUUAUAUGGUGUUCUUUAGCCUUUUCUUGGCAGGGUUGUACUCAGACGACAAUCUGCAGUGCCAACACAUUUGGUCUUAUAUUUAGAGACCACAAUGACUUCUAGCCAUAGUCAUGUUAUGGAAGCAUCCAGGUUUGACUACUGUAAUGCACUAUAUGUGGUUCUGCCUUUGCCAAAUACUUAGAAACUUAAGUUAGUACAAAAUACUACAUCAAGAUUCGUAAUUGGCUGGUUGAAUGGAUCACAUCCCAGCAGUCUCAAAACAACUGAACUAGUUAACAAUCAAUUGCCAAGCACAUGGCUUUUAUGUUUAUAGCCCUUAAACAGCUUAGCACUGAGAUACCAGAAGGACUGCAUGAACCUGCCCAGAUAUUAAGAUCUUCCUCAGAUGCUCUUCUGAGCUCCCUUAUCUUCAGAAGUGAGAAAGGUGGUGCCAGAUCGGCCACCUCAGCAAAGGUAGAAGAACACAGACAUCCAUGCUACUAGCCAUUAUCCUCCUUUAAAGUCACCCAAGUCAUCACAUCUCGUGCGAAUGAAUUCCAUAGCACAGUGGUUCUGAAACUUUUUUCUCUGGGCCACACUUUCAGAAUAAAAAUUUGUUCGCACCACCAAUUUGUGUGUGUGUAAGAAAUACAUGGGGAGAGACAUCUCAUGGCAGUGCUUGAUUUAUAACAUAGAACACAACUAGUUUAUAAUAUGAUCAUGGGACAUCCAGAAAGUAUAGAACAAUGCAGCUACAUAAGAACACGAAUCAUUCCCUGAAUAAAAUACUGAUUAUCCUUGAAUCUUCCUGCCAUAUUGCCAUCCUCUCCUGCCACACCAGUGUGGAGCACCACAACCUUUGAGAACCACUGGUCUAAAUAUAUAAUGCUGAUUGGAUCAUCUCUAUAUGUUUUGUCAUACUCCUUAAUGAGACAGGACUUCUUACCCUUGCAGAAGCCAUGCCGCCUCUGCUUCAGCAAGAACUGUUCUUCCAUAUGCUUGGUAAUUUUAGCUUUAAUAAAGCUUUUUCCAAACAGAUGUAAAGCUAGCUAUCUUGUAACUACCAGAAUCCCCUUGGUUCCCUUUUCAAAAAAUUGUGUCACAUUGCCCACUUUUCAGUCCUCAGGUAUGGAGGCUGAUGUUAGGAACAAAGUAUAUGUUUUUGUUAGAAGAUCAGCAUUUGAGUUUUUAAAGAACUCUCAGGUGGAUACCAUCUGCACCCAGCAAUUUGUGAAUUUUAAAUUGUCCAUGUGGCCUAGAACUUCAUUUAUUGUUAGUACUAUUUGCUUCAGUUCCUCAGACUCUCAUCCUGCUAUGGUUGGUUCAGGUGAUCAGAUCUGCCCUACAUCUUCCACCAUGAAAACAAAUGCAAAUAAUUCAGCUUUUCUGCAAUCUCAUUUUCCUCCCUUAGCACACCUUUCUCUCCCUUAUUCCUUUCUAGUCAGUUUUCUGCUAGACGUUUCCUGCUUCUAAUGUGUAUUUUGUUGGUCUUCGUGUUUUCUAGGGAUCCUUGAAUGGCAGGCUAACUGCAACAGCUUGGGAAGAAAAACAAGUACCACUUGCACAGGAUGUUCCUCUGAAUCCAGGAAAAGGACAAUCAAUAUUCUCCCAACCCCAUUAUUGAGGGGGCUGUGGAGAUCAAAGCUGUUGUCACAAAGAGAAUGGGAAUGGGCUGACAGACAAAAAGUGUUCAGUCGUGUGGGAAGUUUUAGGAUGAAACUCAGCUUGUAUGGAAGACUGGUGGGUCUGCAUAGGAGAAAAUAGAGAGAGAGGAACCUCCAAACUUCAUAGAGCUGUUCUUUUAACUGUGCUGACCUUCCAUCAGGUGUUAGACUGAUACUCUCAGGCUUGCUUUCCUCAUUUUCUUCUUCACCUUGGGAGAAGAGACAUCUUUGUAUGUCUCUCUCUUUGUAUGCUGAGAACAAAGAGCAGGCAUGGUUCUUUGUAUCUCCAUCUUAGUUAGACAGAAGAAAGGAUAUUUCCUAUCAGGUAUGUUUUCCCUUUAAUAAAAUUAGCUUUCUUAAUUUCCUAAACUCAGUAUCA